rnacentral:rRNA from 1 species
CCUACGGGUGGCAGCAGUGGGGAAUAUUGGGCAAUGGGCGCAAGCCUGACCCAGCAACGCCGCGUGAAGGAAGAAGGCUUUCGGGUUGUAAACUUCUUUUGUCAGGGACGAAGCAAGUGACGGUACCUGACGAAUAAGCCACGGCUAACUACGUGCCAGCAGCCGCGGAAAUACGUAGGUGGCAAGCGUUAUCCGGAUUGACUGGGUGUAAAGGGCGUGUAGGCUGGGAGUUAAGUCAGAUGUGAAAACCACGGGCUCAACAUGUGGCCUGCAUUGGAUACUGUUUGUCUUGAGUGCUGGAGAGGCGAUCGGAAUUCCGGGUGUAGCGGUGAAAUGCGUAGAUAUACGGAGGAACACCAGUGGCGAAGGCGGAUUGCUGGACAGUAACUGACGCUGAGGCGCGAAAGCGUGGGGAGCAAACAGGAUUAGAUACCCGAGUAGUC